UAAACAUUUACUAGUUCAUGGUAGGAUAAUCUACAACACAAUAUAUUAUGCCUAACUAUCAAAACAACACCCUUUUUUUUGGUCUAGGAAAAGAGAAA